CCCUUAGAUGUUCUGGGCCGCACGCGCGCUACACUGAUACGUUCAACAAGUUCCUUGGCCGAAAGGUCUGGGCAAUCUUUGAAACCGUAUCGUGAUGGGGAUAGAACAUUGCAAUUAUUGUUCUUCAACGAGGAAUGCCUAGUAAGCGCGAGUCAUCAACUCGCGUUGAUUACGUCCCUGCCCUUUGUACACACCGCCCGUCGCUCCUACCGAUUGAACGUGCUGGUGAAGCGUUAGGACUGGCGCCACGUGUCGGGUCUCCCUUCAACGGGGCGCCGGGAAUUUCGUUGAACCCUCCCGUUUAGAGGAAGGAGAAGUCGUAACA
rnacentral:rRNA from 1 species